rnacentral:rRNA from 1 species
UACGUAGGCAGCAAGCGUUGUUCGGAGUUACUGGGCGUAAAGAGUGCGUAGGUGGUGCCCUAAGUCUGUUGUGAAAUCUCCCGGCUUGAACUGGGAGGGUGCGGUGGAAACUGGGGUGCUUGAGUGUGGGAGAGGUAAGCGGAAUUCCUGGUGUAGCGGUGAAAUGCGUAGAUAUCAGGAGGAACACCGGUGGUGUAGACGGCUUACUGGACCACGACUGACACUGAGGCACGAAAGCGUGGGUAGCAAACAGG